CGUGCCGCCCGCUCCGGCCCCAACGGUCGCCGCCGUCAUCCUGCCGCUAUGAGGCACCUCCCCUACUUCUGCCGCGGCGAGGUGGUGAAGGGCUUCGGCAGGGGGUCCAAGGAGCUGGGCAUCCCCACAGCUAACUUUUCUGAGCAAGUAGUCGAAAGCUUUCCAUCUGAUAUCUCUACUGGUAUAUACUAUGGAUGGGCCUGUGUUGGAAAUGGAGAUGUGCAUAAAAUGGUUUUGAGCAUAGGAUGGAAUCCUUUCUAUAAGAAUAUUAAGAAAUCAGUGGAAACGCACAUAAUCCACACUUUCAAAGAAGACUUUUAUGGAGAAAUUCUUAGUAUAGUCAUUACAGGAUAUAUUCGACCGGAAAAAAACUUUGAUUCUUUAGAGGCACUCAUUUCAGCAAUUCAGGAAGACAUUGAAGAAGCAAAAAGACAACUAGAUUUACCGGAACAUCUUAAACUCAAAGAUGACAACUUCUUUCAUCCGCCAGAAGGCAAAAUAGUAAACAACCACUAAGCAAAGCUCUUCCUCAUUAAUUUUUUUUCUCAUGGAGCUCUUUUCUUUGCACUGCUUUUGUAUGUACUUAAUUGUCACGUAUCUGUUUAGGUGAUUGAGAUUGGAACCGAACACUGUAAAACCAUACAAGCUUUAAUUUUACAAGGAGCCACCACGACCUCAGGAUGAGAGGUUGAGUGAAAUGAGCAAUAGCUCUGCUUCUGCAUAAUCAAACAGGACACUCAUAGCUACAUUGGCAACCCACAAACCCUUUAGGAAUAAUAUCCAACCGGUUCUACUUGCAUCUCAAUACUCUUCUGGAGAAAACAAGGCUGCCAACCUUGGCAAUCUUCAGUCGCUUCUUCAUAGUAAGUCCCUUCGGGGCAUUCUUCAAAACACCUCCCGUUGUACAGGACAAAGAAGCUGACGGCACACUCAUUACAGUCGUCUGAGUCGGGCCCAUCGCAAUCCUUGCAGUCUCUGUGGCAGGGGAAGCACUGCUUGUCUUCGGCGUAGAAGCGAGAGGGGCAAUCCUCCACACACCUCCCCUCGUGCAGGAAGAACUCAUCCAUGCACCCUGCGGAGAACCAGAGACAACGGGUAAGGCAGCUAAUGCUGACUUUGGUAAGUGAGGGAGUGAAGAAAUCCUGGGAAACCAUAAAUCCCACAGUGCCUGUUUUAAUAGGAGAUAAACGGACAACUUGGGAGUGGAUUGCUUUUUCCUUUGACUCUUUCCCCUCCAAUCUGCCCAUAACAGCCCAAACCUCAUGCCAUAUCUUCUGCGCUACCUUGAGGGACUGAGAAACCAAGUCGGCUACUCAGCUUUGCUGAUAUUAACCAAACCACGCUGCCACUAAAUAGAGAAGGGCUUCUGAUGAGAUGCUAUAUCUGGAUUAUGAACUUCCUGCAAAAUUAGGGAUGUCCAGAUUGGAAGGUUUUUUUGCUUUAUUAUUAAAAUAUGAGUCUGGCUGGAAUAUUUGCACCUGGCUGUUUGACUUUGCAGGGAGCUGCGAUGGUGUUAGGAUUUGGGGUAGGGGUUCAGCUAUUAAUUUUAUUAUAACUGCCUAGUUUAAUAGCUUUGUUUUUGAUUCUUUUUCAUCCAUGCUAAUGUUUCCAGAAUGGCUUGCUCAUUAAGGGUUAACUACCCCUUAAAUUUUUGGGUGUGCAGUCAGACUUACGAGGACUUCUGAGCAUUACUAGAUAUGUUUUAUUACAGAGGUUUCGUCCGCUACCCUGAGUAGUGGUUUGCAAAAAUGGCAAAGAGAUGUAGUUAAACCAAACUAGGAAAGAAACAUUUUGUAUUGCACACUGGUGUAAAUGUUAAAGAAUUUAGGCAUGGAAAGACCUGUCAUUUGCUAAAUCAGAAAUAGAAUCAAACCAACAGGAAUUUCCUGAAAUACAAAAAGAACAGAAAAAGCAGUGUGAAACACCUUUGCAGAUAAACAUUUUCAACUGAGUCUCGUGAUAAAGCACGGGUUGCUUAGCCUCUAUUUUAGCAAUUUAGCAAUAAUAUAUACACCCAUUUUUUCUUUUUUGGUCAUUAUGGAAUUUCUUUUCAGAUAUAUGUUUCUGUCCAUCUGAUUUUCUAAAUCUAUCUCAUUUUAACUAAGUCAUGAGAAGUUCCUUGUAAUACCUUUGCACAUUUGAUUGUGAAUGCACUCCUGACACAUUGGAGGGCAGUGUUUGCAGAUUCCUUCAGAAGCAAAAUACUUCUCCGAACAGGUAUGUUUACAUUCCCACCGCUCCAGAAGCAAAGGGCUUUCACAGGACUGGCAUUUGGUGGCACUUCCCAUGCACGUCUUACAGGAUCCACUGCAUUCCUUGCAAGUCCCAGAGUCAUUAAAAUAUCCCCUAUUGAAUUAAAACAAACACAAAGCAAACUGCUGGUCAGAGUAUGUUUGUAGAAUAGUCCAGUGACACAGGUUGCAAGAAUUAUGUUUGUAUAUAUCAGUUUCCCAGCAGAUAUAUUUCACUGAAACAAAAAUAUUUCUUAACAAUCUAUUGUCUAUCCUCUAAUCCAUUACAUUCCCUCAUGCAAGCAGAAAACCUCCAUGGUUAACACCACGAAGGGAGUCUGUCCUUCCCUUAUUCUUGUACCUACUCUAGGGGUUGCUGGACUUCCUUUCUUGCCUUUUCUCUGAUUUCCCCCUUAUAUAAGGUGGGAAGAUACAUAAUGUUUGGGAAAAGGAAGACACAGUCUGCAGUCUUGCUCAGCUGACCCUCAGCAAUACUACCAGGAAUAGAAAGAGUAAUAUAACCUAAUUAACCUAAAUAUAGUGGCCUUAGAGAGAAAAAAGAGAAGAGAAAUCCUUGGAAGUGUGAAGGCUGGGAUAAAAAAACCACAACAGGAUGCAUGAGAAGUACCUGCAUUUGGUGACAGCAAAGGAGCGGGUUAGGAGAAGGACUAGGGGAUUAUUUUCAAUUGCCACAAAGAACCACCUUGAGGACAGUACUGUGGUCCUACUGGAGUCAAUGGGAGCUUUACCAUCAGACAUAGUCUUUACCAUAGUCAUGAUUAGUCUCACUUGCAAUCUCAGUCAAGAGCAAGUGCUAUUUAUUACUUUAAGCUAGUUGAAAAUGGCUUUUACCACGUGGUAGUUUCUGGUGUCUUAGGCUACCUUAAGUUCUCCCCUUGAAAGGUUUAUAAUGAAUCUGAGCUAUAAGAAGAAGGAGAAGAGAUAAAUUAAAGAACAGUCAUCAAAUAGGAAUAAGUUUAAAAAAUUACUUACUCAGGGCAUUCCUGAAAGCACCUGCCUUUGUGGAGGAAGAGUGGCUGGUCCUGUCCAGACUGACACUUCUGACAGUGCCAGGGGUCGGAGCACACCUCGCAAUCGUCCAAGCACAUCUCACACUUUCCGCUUUCCACAUUGCCAAAAGUUUGUUGAGGGCAUUGAGAGACACAGGUAUCAUGGCUAAGAAAUUUUCCUGGCAAAACAGCAACCCAAGUGGAGAAAGGGACCAAAGAGAAAUGUAUUUAAAAGAAUCUUGUCUUGGGUGGCUAUAAAAAAACCCUUUAAACUUCCCAAAAGCUUAACUUUUUGAUGCUUAAAAACACGACUGAAAUAUUCUUUAAACUGUUUCCCAAAAUAGUUUGCACAGCCUCCCCUGAAAUGUAAGGUUAGAAAGGAUCCUCAUCAUUAUCUGGUACAUCCUUCCUGAAACCCAUACUCAGUAAUUCCUCCAUCACUUCUACAACUUUUGAUUGAAUAGAAAAGAAAGCAACAACAUCCACCUCAUUUUUUUUAACCCUUAUUGCUAAGGGCACGUGCUUUAUUCCUAGUCGGUAUGUGUUUGACUUCACUUUCUCAUGCUUCAAGCUGCCAAAGAACUUUCUACUGAACAUUGACCAAACUAGUCCCUGAAAGUGUUUAGGAUACAGAGUAUUUUAGCCACUUGCAAAAACUGCCCAAAGAGGCUGAAAGUCUCCUACCUUCUGGACAUGAAGUACACAUGUUAGCAUCUUUGUCACAGGUCCUACAUGAAGGAUCACAGGACUGUAACUGUUUUUUUGCUUCUGGAAUGAAAGAAAAAAAUCUGGUUUUGAUUGUCUUACAGGGUUUUUUGUUCAUUUGCCCUCUCAUUUCUUAUCUAAGCUGUUUUUAAAAUGUACCUCCUUGAAGUUUUGAUAUUCACAAAGUUGGACAAAUUGGCGAUUGCCUUAAAUUCCACACUCUUAAAUGAUAAGUAUAGAGUUGCUGUAAUAAAGGAAAAUAUAAACGGUAUCCUGA